rnacentral:rRNA from 1 species
AUAAGAAAAGAAGAGCGUAUGGAGGAUGCCUAGGCACAAAGAGGCGAAGAAGGACGCAGCAAACGGCGAAACGCAACGUCAAGUGGUAAGCACACGCAAGAGGCGUUGAUAUCCGAAUGGGGGAACCCACCAGAUAAAGUCUGGUAUCGAUGUAUGAGAAAAGUAGUACAUUAGAGGCAAUACGCAGGGAACUGAAACAUCUAAGUACCUGUAGGAGAAGAAAAUAAAGAAAUGAUUUCCUAAGUAGUGGCGAGCGAAAGGGAAGGAGCCCAAACCAGCAAAGCUGGGGUUAUAGGACACUCAAAGAAGACAAGAAGCGUUAUAGGAGAAUAGUCUGGGAAGGCAAGCCAGAGAGGGUGAAAGCCCCGUAACCGAAAUAGCGUAAAGUCGAGAGUGAAUCCUGAGUACAACGGGACACGAGUAAUCCUGUUGGAAGGAUCGAGGACCAUCUCGAAAGGCUAAAUACUCCUUUGUGACCGAUAGCGAACAAGUACCGUGAGGGAAAGGUGAAAAGAACCCCGGGAGGGGAGUGAAAAAGAACCUGAAACCAUAUGCUUACAAGAAGUCAGAGCCCGUUAAAGGGUGAUGGCGUGCCUUUUGUAGAAUGAACCGGCGAGUUAUGAUAUGCAGCAAGGUUAAGCAGGAGAUGUGGAGCCGAAGCGAAAGCGAGUCUUAAAAGGGCGAGAGUUGUAUGUCAUAGACCCGAAACCGAGUGAUCUAGCCAUGACCAGGUUGAAGUUGGGGUAAAACCCGAUGGAGGACCGAACCGACCCCCGUUGAAACGUUGGCGGAUGAGUUGUGGCUAGGGGUGAAAUUCCAAACGAACUCGGAGAUAGCUGGUUCUCCCCGAAAUAGCUUUAGGGCUAGCGUCAGGAAAGAAAGUCGCAUGAAGGUAGAGCACUGAAUAUGUGAUGGCCCCAUCCCGGGGUACUGAAUAUAAUCAAACUGCGAAUGUCAUGAGGACAAGCCUGGCAGUCAGACAGUGGGUGAUAAGGUCCAUUGUCAAGAGGGAAACAGCCCAGACCAUCAGCUAAGGUCCCAAAAUAUAUGCUAAGUGGAAAAGGAUGUGGAGAUGUAAAGACAACUAGGAGGUUGGCUCAGAAGCAGCCACCCUUUAAAGAGUGCGUAACAGCUCACUAGUCGAAUGACUCUGCGCCGAAAAUAUACCGGGGCUAAGCAUAAUACCGAAGCUAUGGAAUUACUAAGUAAUUGGUAGGGGAGCGUUCUAAGGUCGAAGAAGUAUGAUCGAAAGGACAUGUGGAGAGCUUAGAAGAGAGAAUGCCGGUGUGAGUAGCGGAACGUGGGUGAGAAUCCCACGCACCGAAAACCCAAGGUUUCCAGAGGAAGGUUCGUCCGCUCUGGGUAAGUCGGGACCUAAGGCGAGGCCAAAAGGCGUAGUCGAUGGACAACAGGUAGAAAUUCCUGUACUGUAUAUUGAGUGAAGGAGUGACGGAGAAGGCUAGAUGAAGCCAGCGGAUGGAAGAGCUGGUGCAAGCGAGAUAUCUAAUACGUAGGCAAAUCCGCGUAUUAAAAAGGAGAAGGCGUGAAGCGGAUGGAAAGUGAGAACGAGUACAGAAGUCAUUGAAGCAAGCUUCCAAGAAAAGCUUCUAGCAAAUUGAUAUAUACCCGUACCGAAAAUGGACACACAUGGGUGAGGAGAGAAUCCUAAGGUGAGCGAGAGAACUAUAGCUAAGGAACUCUGCAAAAUGACUCCGAGAAGGAGUGCUUAUGAAAGUAAGCCGCAGUGAAACGGCCCAAGCGACUGUUUAUCAAAAACACAGCUCUCUGCGAAGUCGAAAGACGAAGUAUAGGGGGUGACGCCUGCCCGGUGCUGGAAGGUUAAGAGGAGUUGUAAGCCAAAGGCGAAGCAAUGAAUUGAAGCCCCAGUAAACGGCGGCCGUAACUAUAACGGUCCUAAGGUAGCGAAAUUCCUUGUCAGGUAAGUUCUGACCCGCACGA